GGGGUAGAAGCUCAGUGGUUGAGCGAUCGAUUGCAAAUCGAUAGGUCGUGUGUUCGAUCCACACCUAUCCCU
rnacentral:tRNA from 1 species